rnacentral:lncRNA from 1 species
GAAGGAUCAAUUGCAUGCAGAAGCAAAUAAGGAUCGAUUGCAAGGAAAGGAAGGGAUGAAUGAUACAACAGCGAGGAGAUUACAAUUUUCAGCAGUUACGGAACCAAAAAUUCCAGUACCAGUUGAUGUUGAAGCUGUUGAGACAGAAAAUUCAAAACCUACACUUGCGGAAGUAGUCAGAGGCAACAGAGAUGUGCAAAUGGGUAAGCCUUUAUCAUUUGUUCCUCCUACUUUGCGAGAUGGUAAAAAGGUAGUGAAGAUCUGUGAAGAGGAUUUACAACCACAAC